rnacentral:lncRNA from 1 species
AUCCAGGCCCCAGGCCUCUGUGCUGCAAAGUCCAACCGGGGGGACUCUGUGAAUGCUGGGAUGAUUAACGCAAGCUGGCUGCAAGAAGGAGACCCCCAGGAUGAGGGAUGCCACUGGAUCUGAGAUUGCCCUGGGACUCAGGAUUUUUCCCACACAGGGAGAUCAUCAGAGAGAAACCUCCUCUUUGCGUCAACUACAAUCACAGACAACUUUUUCAUUAUAUGACACAUAGACAUGGUAUGCUUGCAGCCAUAAUGACAUAUAA